rnacentral:lncRNA from 1 species
CGGCUCCCGCCCCAGGCGGAUCCGGGUGCGCCCCGCGCGGCUGCGCUCGCGCUCCUCCUCGAAGUCACUGGGUCCCGCAGCCCAGGGGGCGGAGGGCAAAGGAUCUCAUGUCGCUGCUGCCGCCACCCCCGAUUCGCAAUGUUUCUGCUUCCCUCCACUCUGUCCCGGGUUCCAGGGCCCUGUCUCUAGGGGCGCCCUGGGUCUUCCAGGAGUGAUCCAGAAGUUUCUUCCUGUCCUGCGUGCGCUGACCAUCGGCCCCGAGGACAGCGAUAAGAUGGCUAAAGGCUCCCGAGGCCAGGCAACAACCAGUGGCAACUCAUCAGCCCUAUGAAUGAGCCAUGUUGGAACUGAAUCCUCUAACCCAAGCUCAGCUGCCUCAGUUGAUACCAACUUAAGCAGAGAAGAGCCUGUCC